AUUGAACGCUGGCGGCAGGCCUAACACAUGCAAGUCGGGCGACCGGCGGACGGGUGAGUAAUGUAUGGGGUUCUGCCUGCUUGAGGGGGAUCACUACUGGCAACGGUAGCUAAUACCGCAUACCAUCGGCUGACCCCAUAUGGGAUUAGCUGGUAGGUGAGGUAACGGCUCACCUAGGCGACGAUCCCUAGCUGGUCUGAGAGGAUGAUCAGCCACAUUGGGACUGAGACACGGCCCAGACUCCUACGGGAGGCAGCAGUGGGGAAUAUUGCACAAUGGGCGCAAGCCUGAUGCAGCCAUGCCGCGUGUAUGAAGAAGGCCUUCGGGUUGUAAAGUACUUUCAGUCGGGAGGCGUUACCGACAGAAGAAGCACCGGCUAACUCCGUGCCAGCAGCCGCGGUAAUUC
rnacentral:rRNA from 1 species